rnacentral:rRNA from 1 species
AACCUCCGCAAUGCACGAAAGUGCGACGGGGGGACCCCGAGUGCCAUCCCCUUGGGAUGGCUUUUCCGGAGUGUAAACGGCUCCGGGAAUGGAGGCUGGAAUAA